UACGUAGGGUGCGAGCGUUAAUCGGAAUUACUGGGCGUAAAGCGCGCGUAGGCGGCUUUGCAAGUCGAGUGUGAAAUCCCCGGGCUCAACCUGGGAACUGCAUUCGAGACUGCAUUGCUAGAGUAUGGGAGAGGGAAGUGGAAUUUCAGGUGUAGCGGUGAAAUGCGUAGAUAUCUGAAGGAACAUCAGUGGCGAAAGCGACUUCCUGGACCAAUACUGACGCUCAAGUGCGAAAGCGUGGGGAGCAAACAGG
rnacentral:rRNA from 1 species